rnacentral:rRNA from 1 species
GACGAACGCUGGCGGCGUGCCUAAUACAUGCAAGUCGAGCGAAUGGAAGGGAGCUUGCUCCCUGAAGUUAGCGGCGGACGGGUGAGUAACACGUGGGCAACCUGCCUGUAAGACUGGGAUACCUUCGGGAAACCGGAGCUCAUACCGGAUACGUUCUUUCCUCGCAUGAGGAAAGAUGGAAAGAUGGUUUCGGCUAUCACUUACAGCUGGGACCGCGGCGCAUUAGCUAGUUGGUGGGGUAAUGGCCCACCAAGGCGACGAUGCGUAGCCGACCUGAGAGGGUGAUCGGCCACACUGGGACUGAGACACGGCCCAGACUCCUACGGGAGGCAGCAGUAGGGAAUCUUCCGCAAUGGACGAAAGUCUGACGGAGCAACGCCGCGUGAGCGAAGAAGGCCUUCGGGUCGUAAAGCUCUGUUGUCAGGGAAGAACAAGUGCCAGAGUAACUGCUGGCACCUUGACGGUACCUGACCAGAAAGCCACGGCUAACUACGUGCCAGCCGCCGCAGUAACAC